UACGUAGGGAGCAAGCGUUGUUCGGAUUUCCUGGGCGUAAAGGGCGCGUAGGCGGCGCGGUAAGUCACUUGUGAAAUCUCUGAGCUUAACUCAGAACGGCCAAGUGAUACUGCAGUGCUAGAGUGCAGAAAGGGCAAUCGGAAUUCUUGGUGUAGCGGUGAAAUGCGUAGAUAUCAAGAGGAACACCUGAGGCGAAGGCGGGUUGCUAGGCUGACACUGACGCUGAGUGCGCGAAAGCCAGGGGAGCAAACGGG
rnacentral:rRNA from 1 species